UGAGUUUCUCAUGGUUAAAGGGGUGAUAGAAUGCAAAACCGAUUUUACCUUGUCAUAGGUGAAUAACGACAGUUCGGUGGGUAAAUAGGACAUACAUAGAAGCUUAAAAUCCCAUUGACUUGCCUUUCCUCUGAAAAUCCCACAUUUUGAAACUGCCGCUGAAAACGGGCGAGUCCCAACAAAGCCAAAAGAUGACGUCAGGAUCUCAGAACCUGUAGCUUUGUCACGCCCAUGGCUGUAUUAGGAGAACGGUCACGCCCCAACAUUAACAUACAGGCCACUGACCUGAGACCAGUUCCUAAUGGAGCUAGCGUUAGGUCAUUUAGAUGUCCGACUGAGAACUCUGCUCCUGUACUUUGAAAGGAUUUACUAAGAAGAAAGUUUGGAAUAUUUUCCAGGAUAUUGACAAUGAACCAGGGUCGUAAAUGCAGAGUUCCAGGCUGUCCAGGGAAUGGAGACACUUCUCAUAGCCUUCCCAAGGAAGCAAACACUCGACGGGCAUGGCUGCUGUUUAUAAGGAGAUCCCUGUUAACUUUUCCCCCAAAGACAGUUUUCAAAACUUCGGACAAUUUAAAGCAGGAUUUGCUAAGCUGCGGUUGCUGUUCCGACUGUCUGGUCAACCCAACCACAAGCUAGCACAUCACACGAAAGUCAAGACACGAAAGAUGCAGCUUGCCAAACAGAUGCUCCAAGUGUGGCAUCUCGGGGGACACAACUGUCUCAUAAGACAUUAAGACCUCACAUAUCAUACAAGCCACAAUGGAAGACAGCCAAGGGGAAACUAAUGUCCGGACGUCUGUUCCCAAAGGCCAAAAAGGGGAGGUUACACCAUC